GGCCUCCAGAAGUUAUGGGAGAAGGAAGGGAGAGCGUGACCACUCCAGGCUGCCCAGAAGAAAGAACAAAAUGUUAAACUGAGUCAGUGUGAAAAUGUCACAUCACCCUGCUGCAAGCCCUGGUGUUCUCGAGAAGCAGAGGUGGAAGAUGCCGGCUCCAGAUGUUGGGAGGUUUUUCUUCCCUAGGGGAGGAAACAUCAAGUGCUGCUCCCAGGCACGGAUCUCAUUCUGGGAAUUGAGAGUGCUCCAUCCACAGACUCCUUUCUGGUGUCUUGACAUAAUGCAAGAGAGUGCUGAGAGGAAGGUGAUGAAGAAUACCUGGGCACAAAGGAGAAAUAAAGAGGAGGAGGUUGUGUGGCUCCUCCUAACAGUCCAGCACUUCUGCCUCCCAGCUAUGCAAAAACACAAGAGAACUUAAUUAAGAGGGUCCAUUUUCUCUACAAAACCUUUUAUGGUCCCUGGCCUUUGCUCAGAUACAUUUAC
rnacentral:lncRNA from 1 species